GCUCGAAAAUGUUAAAGUUCUUAUUUCAUGGUAUAACUUUGGUAUGCUUGGACCUAGAGUCUUCAAACUUGACAUGAAGGUUGGCCAGGAUUAACAGAUGACCACUGGUCAUUUCAAGGUCAUUCAUUUGAAGGUCAAGGUCACUGUGACCUUCAAUAUAAAAAAUGUUAAAGUUGUUAUAACUUUGGUAUGCUUGGACCUAGAGUCUUGAAACUUGACAUGAAGGUUGGCCAUAACUAGUUAGUAACCACUGGUCAUUUCAAGGUCAUUCAUUUGAAGGUCAAGGUCACUGUGACCUUGAAUGUAAAAAUGUUAAAGUUCUUAUUUCAUGGUAUAACUUUGGUAUGCUUGGACCUAGAGUCUUCAAACUUGACAUGAAGGUUGGCCAGGAUUAACAGAUGACCACUGGUCAUUUCAAGGUCAUUCAUUUGCAGGUCAAGGUCACUGUGACCUUCAAUAUAAAAAAUGUUAAAGUUGUUAUAACUUUGGUAUGCUUGGACCUAGAGUCUUGAAACUUGACAUGAAGGUUGGCCAUAACUAGUUAGUAACCACUGGUCAUUUCAAGGUCAUUCAUUUGAAGGUCAAGGUCACUGUGACCUUGAAUGUAAAAAUGUUAAAGUUCUUAUUUCAUGGUAUAACUUUGGUAUGCUUGGACCUAGAGUCUUCAAACUUGACAUGAAGGUUGGCCAGGAUUAACAGAUGACCACUGGUCAUUUCAAGGUCAUUCAUUUGAAGGUCAAGGUCACUGUGACCUUGAAUGUAAAAAUGUUAAAGUUGUUAUAACUUUGGUAUGCUUGGACCUAGAGUCUUGAAACUUGACAUGAAGGUUGGCCAGAACUAGUAAGUAACCACUGGACAUUUCAAGGUCAUUCAUUUGAAGGUCAAGGUCACUGUGACCUUGAAUGUAAAAAUGUUAAAGUUCUUAUUUCAUGUUAUAACUUUGGUAUGCUUGUACCUAGAGUCUUCAAACUUGAAAUAAAGAUUGGCCAGUACUAGAAGAUGACCACUGGUCAUUUCAAUGUCAUUCAUU